CAUAACCAUGUUCAUGCUUUUAUGCUGAUACCGUUUUUCUUCUUCCAGUUCUUGUUCGACAAUGACAACGGCUCCGCGAGGCAGUGGAAAUCAAAAACAAUAUUCAGAGCUCAAUUAGUGGAAAAAAACCGUAAUCGCGUGUUCGAACGGUCAUUUAUAAUGCGCGAGAUUGUGCGUUCCCUAGCAGGGGGAUUCUAAGCAGUUCGAGACAGCGGGUUUCCUUUAUUCGCGUGUUUGUGCUCAUCAGGAGAUGUGCAUCCGGAGUAAAUAUUAAAUACAUAGUGCAAAACAUCCUCCAAAGGUUGCUGUGGAGAAGUUGAGAAUAUUCUCGCUGGGGCCAAUGCCCUGAUGCAGUUCUCUCCCGCCACGGUGCCAUUAGCACUUAGUGCUGCAGCAAAAAUGUCGGCGUUCCUUUUCGGAUCCUCGUCUUCGAUUUUUAUUUUCUAUACUAUCAAAAAGUUACCACCAUCGACCAGACCAAUGCGUUCUAUGCUGAUAUUGUGUAGGAGGACCCUGCUCCGGAGACUGAACCGGCUAGUAAAAAAGGAGCAAGCAUCUCCGUUGGCGCUGAUAAAUAAUAUUGUGGCUUCAGGAGCAGAAUCAUCUUGAGGAACAGCGACAAUGCACAACGAUUGGUGCCAAUCCAUACGGCACCGUCACUGGUCCAUUUGUGAUUACCGUUUUCGCAACCCAUCUGAUUCAUGAAGGCCGUAAAAUCUGACGUUCGCUUCUGGCAGCAGGACCCAAACUUAAGGCCCUCGUGGAAGAUUGGCACCCCGGAUGAAACACACAUUUUGGUCGUUUUUGGUUCCCUCGAACGAGUAAGUGCAACCGCCAUGUUUGCAUGUCGUUCCGGGUUAUAUCUCCGUCGGAUCGGAUAUGUUUUUAACCAGAGCAGGGCCUACAGGAAGAUUAUCGAUUUGACUUUUGAAAGCCGGUGCUACAAAAAAUGUCGUUGGCGCUGAUAAAUAAUAUCAUUGUGGCUUCAGGGACAGAAUCAUCUUGAGGAACAGCGACAAUGCACCAGAGAAGCAAACGCUUGCCUCAAAGCGGAAGAUCAGCGGUCGACUGAGGAAGGAAUUUGAAGCCAAUCCGAAUCGGUUCAAGGCAAAUUACGGCUGUAACAUUUCAAUUGUUGGCUCCAAACGAACACUUUUGGGAUUUCGAUAGGAAUCCCUCUGGAAUUUCUAUUGAAAUCCUGGGAUUUUCGAUACUCUGGGACUUUUGAUUAGAUAUUUCGAUAGAAAACCCGGGAUUCUAAGAAUCCAUCUGGGUUCCCGAUGGGAAUAAUUUUAGGAUUACUAAAAGAACAAAGUUUCUGAAAUUCCUACGGAAAUACUUCUGAGAUUUUGAAAGGAAUCUUUUUGAGAUUUUUAAGGGAAUUCCUACGGAAGUCUUUCUUGGAUUUCUAAGGAAACAUUUGGGAUUUCGACGGAAAUACUUGCGAGAUUUCAACGGAAACCCUUCUGGAGUGUCGAUAGGAAUCUUUUUGGGAUUUCGAAGGCAAUACUUUUGAGAUUUCGACGGAAAUACUUCCGAAAUUUUGAUACGAACCCUUGAGAAUCUGAUACAAACCCUCUUGGGACUUUUUUAGGAUUACGAAGAGAUAACUUUUGGGAUAUCGACGGGAGUAAUUCCGAGAUUUAAGCUCUGAGAUUUUGACAAGAAUACUUCCAAGAUUUCGAAAUGAAACCUCUUAGGAUUCCAAUGGAAAUGUUUCGAAGGUCUCAAUGGGAAUUCUUUUGGAAUUUAGAAAAGAAAACUUUUGGGAUGUCGACGGAAAUACUUCCGAUAUUUCAACGGAAAUCCUUCUGAAGU